GGGGAGUGACGUCAAGUACCUCAUGGCCCUUAUCGCCCAGGGCUACACACGUGCUACAAUGGCCGAUACAGAGGGCAGCUACCUGGUGACAGGAUGACAAAUCUCCAAAGUCGGUCUCAGUUCGGAUCGGAGUCUGCAACCCGACUCCGUGAAGUUGGAUUCGCUAGUAAUCGCGCAUCAGCCAUGGCGCGGUGAAUACGUUCCCGGGCCUU
rnacentral:rRNA from 1 species